rnacentral:rRNA from 1 species
AGUGAACGCUGGCGGUAUGCCUAACACAUGCAAGUCGAACGGCAGCACAGUAAGAUCUUUCUCCUACGGUUGGCGACUGGCGGACGGGUGAGGAAUAGAUCAGCUUCUACUUUUUCGUGGGUGAUAACGGAGGGAAACUGAUGCUAAUACCGCAUAUGACCUACGGGUUAAAUCAAUAGAUCUUGGGACCUUUCCUGACUGUAUUAGAUGAUGCCGCAUUAGCUAGUUGGCGAGGUAAAGGCACACCAAGGCGACGAUACGUAGCUGGUCUGAGAGGAUGAUCAGCCACACUGGAACUGAGACACGGUCCAGACUCCUACGGGAGGCAGCAGUAGGGAAUAUUGGACAAUGGGCGAAAGCCUGAUGCAGCAAUGCCGCGUGAGUGAAGAAGGCCUUCGGGUUGUAAAGCUCUGUUGUUAGGAAAGAAAAGAAGCAGGUUAAUCCCCCGAUGUUUUGACGGUACCCAAAGAAUAAGCACCGGCUAACUUCGUG